GUAUCUGGUAAUGUCUUUGUCCAACACACUUGCAUUCAGUUACACAAAGAUUUAUUCUGUAGAAAAAAUUGGCAGUAUCAACAAUCUGUUCAAUUUUUAUUUUAUCUAUUUUUACGUUGUUUUUCCCUGCAAACUCAUGGAAAAAAUAAAUUUAUCACUUUAUGAAGCCCUACAUGUACAGUAAAAGGCCAGCCAAAGAAAUGCACCCUGAUCCUGAAACCAGAGCCAGUGAAAGACACACACUUUGGCCCUGAAAUCAGAGCCAAAAGAACACACUCUAGCCCUAAACAACUGAGCAUGAAACCAACGAAUUCCUGAUCAGGAAAACCAACCAUCCUUGAGCACAAACCAACCAAUCACUAAGCAUGAAAUCUGGCCAAUCUCCGAGCUAAUUCAAGCUCGGGGAUUGAAAAUUGACCAAUUCCCACCCCGAAAACCUUAUCCUAGGAAAAGCUAAGCCCCUAGGAAGUCCCAUGUAAGACCCUCUGCCUGUUCAGUUUGGAGCUGCUCUUUUUUCCUCUCUGACAGAGGCAUCCACUCUCCUGGAUUUUUCACUCCCAGAUAAAUCUCUUGAAUGAGUUUUAGGUGAAGACCUUCUUUUACCAGAGCUGAGCAGAAUCUCUUCUGAGAACUCCUUAUUGGAGUGGAGCAGAGAAGCAAUGGACACUUCUGCUGGGAAACUCCAUUAUGGGAAUGGGGCAGAAGUAGCAACUUGUCACCAGAGCGGGAGCAGACUGUCUCAUUUCUGCAAGGGUUUCCCCCUUAGUAGAGUGAAGUAGAGAAUUACCAACUUUGUCUGGAGCUGAGAAGAAAUGGAUAUCUCUGCUGGGAAGCUCUCAUAACAGAGUGGAGCAGGGUUGCCACAUCCUGAAGGGGGACCAUCCCACACUGGAACACAGAACCUAAUAGUAUAAUUGAAAAGGCCUCUCACUCAGCAUGAUAAACCCCAACUCGCAAUGGCAGACACUGAAACAAAAUACGCAGAUUGCCCAUUUUGAGUAUCAGAUCCAAGUGACCUGUGAUAACCACUGCUAUGACUUCCAUUGCAAUAAGUUCUGUCGGCCUACAGAUGACUCUUUAGACACUAUGCCUGUGACCAGAAUGGCAACAAAAACCUGCCAGGAAGACUGGAUGGGUCCUGAGUGUAACAAAGCUGUAUGCCAACAGGGCUGCUUAUAGCUGUAAAAUCCCAAGCAUGGUUUUUGCAAGCUCCCAGGUGACUGCAGGUGCCAAUAUGGUUGGCAGGGCCUGUGCUGUGAUAAGUGCAUCCCGCGCCCAGGACGUGUCCACGGCACGUGCAAUGAACCCUGGCGGUGCCUCUGUGAGACCAACUGGGGUGGACAGCUCUGUGA